UCUGAGGUUAGUCUCUCGGGUCUGGUGUUAUGUGCCCAUACCUCAUGUGGCCCUUGGAGUCACAAGUCACUACAUUUCCCUUUGAGCCCCUAAUAACCUACAAAGGAGUUGGAGAUAAAUUGGCUGCAGCCCCUUCCCCAGUGAUCACCAAAAGCCUAUCCACCCUAGAGCCAGGUCUGGCUAGGGUGCAGCUGCUCACACUGUUGUCCUCCUAGGAUUGUCAAAACCCCUGCUGCAAUGCCACCACUUGCCAGCUGGCCAAGGGGGCAGAGUGUGCCCAUGGUGCCUGUUGUCAUGAAUGCAAGGUGAAGCCAGCUGGUGAGCUGUGUCGUCCUAUGAAGGACAAAUGUGACCUGGAGGAGUUCUGUGAUGGCCAGAAGCCAACAUGUCCUGAAGAUGCCUUCCAACAGAAUGGUACCCCCUGUCCAGGGGGCUACUGCUUUGACGGGAGCUGCCCCACACUGGCACAGCAGUGCCAGGCUCUGUGGGGGCCAGGUGCCCGGGCAGCAUCCGACUCCUGCUUUGCCUUUAGCAUUCCUCAGGGCUGCUAUGGGAGUAUGUACCCUAGCAGGAUCAACCGAUGUGGGGUGCUGUUCUGUGAGGGAGGCCAGAAACCUCUUGAACGUUCCUCCUGCACUUUCUCUUCCCACCAUGGACUCUGCCAAGCUCUCCAGACUGACAGCAAC
rnacentral:lncRNA from 1 species